GUGCCAGCCGCCGCGGUAAUACGGGGGGUGCAAGCGUUGCUCGGAAUCACUGGGCGUAAAGCGUCCGCAGGUGGGUGUGUGUGUCGGAUGUGAAAGCCCAGGGCUCAACCCUGGAACUGCAUUCGAAACUGCACAUCUUGAGUACGGGAGAGGGAAGCAGAAUUCCUGGUGUAGAGGUGAAAUUCGUAGAUAUCAGGAGGAAUACCUGUGGCCAAAGCGGCUUCCUGGUCCGAUACUGACACUCAUGGACGAAAGCGUGGGGAGCAAACAGGAUUAGAAACCCUGGUAGUCC
rnacentral:rRNA from 1 species